rnacentral:rRNA from 2 species
CCUACGGGAGGCAGCAGUGGGGAAUAUUGCACAAUGGGGGAAACCCUGAUGCAGCGACGCCGCGUGAAGGAAGAAGUAUCUCGGUAUGUAAACUUCUAUCAGCAGGGAAGAUAGUGACGGUACCUGACUAAGAAGCCCCGGCUAACUACGUGCCAGCAGCCGCGGUAAU